rnacentral:rRNA from 1 species
UCUUUGGAUUUGGGUCUUGCUGUGGAGUUCUCUCAGCUUACCUUGAAAGCAUUAGCGAGCUUUUUCUGAGUCUUUUUUUUCAGAUUGAGGCGUUCUUAACGCGUUUACGUCUCAAAAGAAAGAAAGAACAGAGUCCUAAAGCCUGCUUCUAAUGGCCUCAUUUUUUUCAAUGACCUCAAAUCAGAUGAGACUACCCGCUGAACUUAAGCAUAUCAAUAAGCGGAGGAAAAGAAACUAACAAGGAUUCCCUCAGUAACGGCGAGUGAAGAGGGAAGAGCUCAGUUUUGAAAUCUGGCAGUCAUUCACUGUCCGAGUUGUAAAUUGAAGAGAGUGUCAUCCACACUGGACCAUGUCUAAAUUGUAAUGAUCCACAGUCCUUUGAUGGAGUAUCAGAGAGGGUAAUAAUCCCGUCUUUAACGUGGACUCCCAGUGUUUAUGUGAUGCAUUCUCUCAGAGUCGAGUAGUUUGGGAAUGCUGCUCUAAUGGGAGGUAAACUCCUUCUAAAGCUAAAUAUUGGCGAGAGACCGAUAGCGAACAAGUACCGUGAGGGAAAGAUGAAAAGAACUCUGAAAAGAGAGUCAAGCAGAACGUGAAAUUGCUGAAAGGGAAGCGUUUGGAGUCAGAUGCGUCUUCAUGGAAUAACGACUCAGUUAGCAGAGACUGAGGUCAGUGACUUGAAGAUGGGCCAGCACUCACGUAGACCAUUGAAAAAGGGGUCAUUGGAAUGUAGCUCAAUUUAUUGAGUGAUUAUAGCCUUGAUUCAUAUACAAUGUGUGUUAUGUGAGAUUGACAGCACGACUUCAGUGCUUGCUUGACUGGCAUAAUGGCUCUAAGCGACCCGUCUUGAAACACGGACC